CUUGUGAUUUUAUUUUACCUUUUCUUGUUUUGUUCUUAGAAGAUACAUAUAUAAACUGAAAAUUCUAUUACUAUUAUUAUUUUUUUCAAUGGCUAAUUAGCAAUGCUCUUGAUCGAAAAUAAAUAAUGUCGAUCUUGUGGCCUCUUGGCGGAAAAACACUGUCAUACCAAGCCACCACAAACUUGUGCAAAAUACAUUAAAAACAAAGGGCUAAAAGGCCAAGCAUGAUAUAGAUUUUCUGCAAACUGACUUCAUCAGCAAAAGAUGUCAUGAGAAAGCUUGACAAACUAAGGGAAAGGCUAUAGAAAAAAUGCUGAAGCGCCAUUACAAAUUGCCUUCGUCCUGCAAGAAGGAGAGAAUGGAAGCGCAAAUGCACAAGUUACAACAUAAGAAAACUAUGUGAUGAAUUGAUUUAUACUAAGACAAGAAAUACUCAACAUGAUUAUGUGAUAAGAGACACCUCAAGGCCUUACAAUCACAGUGGAAACUAAUUUUCGUGAUCCUUGCACAUGAGGAUAUCACAACAAUUUCAAGUAUAAAUAAUUUUUCUAUCACUUUGAAUAAUCGCCAAAUAUAUAAAGAAAAAUGACAUCCACUCUAUCACUAUUAGCAUUAAUUCCGUGAGUGUCAUUUUUCAAUAUAAUUGAUGAAAUUAAUUUGAAAUACAUAUAUCCAGUACUAAAUAAACCUGCUUCGGUGGAAAGUGGAAACAUUAUGUAAACACUGCAGUGAAAGAAACUACGAACUUAUAUAAUGGGGACAUAGCCUACAGUACACACAUUUAAAUUUUUUGACCAUAUGAGCAUUCCUAGAGAAAAAACAUAGAGUAAGAGUUGAAGGAAAAGUCCAGUUUACUUUUACAGGUUUAAAC
rnacentral:lncRNA from 1 species